GGCUUGGGCUGUGCUUCCUGGAGCUUCUGACUAUCGAGGCACUUUCUGAUUUCGCUACACUGACCACUGCAAGGGAACCCGACAACUGAUGUGCAUCUCAAAGCUGCCAGCUGCUCUCCUCAUCCUCUCUGUGGCACUAAUCCACCUGAAAGCUAUACCUGUGGGCAGUUUGUUUAUAUGGUGGAUUACAUUGAUGGAUUUCCAUAUAUUGAAACACCCCUCCAUACUUGAAGUGAAGUCCAUUUGGUCACAGUGGAUGAUGUCUUUGUUAUGUUCUUGGAUUAGCUUCUCACUGAAUUGCUCUGCUUGGAAAAACUGCCUCUGAACUCCACAAACUGAACUGUACCAAACCAACUGCACCGAACUCAACCAAAGUGAACCUGACUAUGCAAACUCUACUGUAUUUCUGCACUGUAGUCUGCUUCGAUUCUCUUGGUGCUGCUCUUAAGUUGCUUCUCUUUCCUGACUGCUUUUGUAAGAGGUGGGCAUAUCCUAUUCCUGACUCAUUUUGUCAAAUCAUUCUCUGAUUCGUCACUUUCUCUGUCCCUCAAUUAGACAUCAUUGUUUGGUAUUAAAGGUAUGUGUGUAUUUCAGCCAAAUGGAUUAAAAGUGUGUCAUGUCUAUAUUCCAGUCAUACAGAUUAAAGGUGUGUAUGUCAGCCAAAAGGAUUAAAGGUGUAUAUUAAGGGUGUGUCUGUAUUUUAGCUAGAUCACACAGACCUGGGUCUUUGAAUGUAAUUCGUUGCCAUAGUAGCCAUGAUGCCAGACUAAAAUUCCUCUACAUCUGGUGUUUGGUAAUAUUGCCAAAAUUCUUUGAAGC